AGAGUUUGAUCCUGGCUCAGAACGAACGCUGGCGGCGUGCCUAACACAUGCAAGUCGAGCGAGAAAGGGGAGCAAUCCCUGAGUAAAGCGGCGAACGGGUGAGUAAUACGUAGGUAACCUACCUUGAAGCUUGGGACAACCUGUCGAAAGACGGGCUAAUACCGGAUAUGACCACGACACCUUCGGGUGCAGCGGUAAAAGGUGGCCUCUUCACGAAAGCUAUCACUUCAAGACGGGCCUGCGCACCAUUAGCUAGUUGGUAGGGUAACGGCCUACCAAGGCGACAAUGGUUAGCUGAUCUGAGAGGAUGAUCAGCCACACUGGAACUGAAACACGGUCCAGACUCCUACGGGAGGCAGCAGUGGGGAAUAUUGCGCAAUGGGGGAAACCCUGACGCAGCAACGCCGCGUGAGUGAUGAAGGCCCUCGGGUCGUAAAGCUCUGUCGGAGGGGAAGAAACUAAAAAUGGCUAAGCGUUGUUCGGAAUUACUGGGCGUAAAGCGCGUGUAGGCGGUUCAUUAAGUCAGGUGUGAAAGCCCUCGGCCUAACCGAGGAAGUGCGCCUGAAACUGAUGGGCUUGAGUACGAGAGAGGAGGACGGAAUUCCCAGUGUAGAGGUGAAAUUCGUAGAUAUUGGGAGGAACACCGGUGGCGAAAGCGGUUCUCUGGAUCGAUACUGACGCUGAGACGCGAAAGCGUGGGGAGCAAACAGGAUUAGAUACCCUGGUAGUCCACGCCGUAAACGAUGGAUAUUAGGUGUUGCGGGCUUAACCCUCGCAGUGCCGACGCUAACGCAUUAAAUAUCCCGCCUGGGGAGUACGGCCGCAAGGUUAAAACUCAAAUGAAUUGACGG
rnacentral:rRNA from 1 species